rnacentral:rRNA from 1 species
AAUGAACGCUGGCGGCGUGCCUAACACAUGCAAGUCGUACGAGAAAGGGGCUUCGGCCCUGAGUAGAGUGGCGCACGGGUGAGUAACGCGUGGGUAAUCUCCCCUUGGAUUUGGGAUAACUCUGCGAAAGUGGAGCUAAUACCGGAUAGUCUGGCUUUAAUUGAUAAGUCGGUAAAGGAUGCCUCUGCAUAUGCAUUCGUCCAAGGAUGAGCCCGCGUCUCAUUAGCUAGUUGGUAGGGUAAUGGCCUACCAAGGCAACGAUGAGUAGCUGGUCUGAGAGGAUGAUCAGCCACACUGGAACUGAAACACGGUCCAGACUCCUACGGGAGGCAGCAGUGGGGAAUAUUGCGCAAUGGGCGAAAGCCUGACGCAGCAACGCCGUGUGAGGGAUGAAGGCUUUCGGGUCGUAAACCUCUGUCGGAAGGGAAGAACGGGCAUUGGUCUAAUAGGCCUUUGUUUUGACGGUACCUUUAGAGGAAGCACCGGCUAACUCCGUGCCAGCCGCCGCCGUAAGAC